rnacentral:rRNA from 1 species
GACGAAGGGGGGCUAGCGUUGUUCGGAAUUACUGGGCGUAAAGGGCGCGUAGGCGGCCUUCUAAGUCGAACGUGAAAUCCCCGGGCUCAACCCGGGAACUGCGUCCGAUACUGGAAGGCUUGAAUCCGGGAGAGGGAUGUGGAAUUCCAGGUGUAGCGGUGAAAUGCGUAGAUAUCUGGAGGAACACCGGUGGCGAAGGCGACAUCCUGGACCGGUAUUGACGCUGAGGCGCGAAAGCCAGGGGAGCCAAACGGGAUUAGAAAACCCC